UAUAAACUUCUAUCUUCAGUUUUUGAGCUUUAAUCAACAAGGAAUUCUCCUCAGAAGCCUCCAUCGCUCUUUAAAAUACGUUUGUUUUUUUUCAUGAUCUUCAGCAAAAGUUCAAACACUUUUUAAAUCAACUCAAAACAUUAUGAAGAAAAUAAUCAUCUUGAGGUGGAAAGGAAAGCAUUGGAAGCGUCUCCAUCAUCAGGGUUCAGAGGAGGGGCUCCAGGAUGUCACAAACCCCCCACUUCCAUCUCAUCCUGCUGUUCAACAGCCAACUUCAACUGAAAGUCUGGAGGAUGUUUUGUGUCCUGUUGAUGAGCAGAUGUGUGCCUGGGAAAAGCCGGAGUAUGUUCAGCCGGAACAGGUUCCUUAUGAAGAGCACAGGUAUAGAGCCCAACAGCAUGGGGGAAAGUACGGGGGCCACUGUAAAAGUGGCCUUGCAGUAUUUAAUGAUGUCAGGUAUGGGGCCCCAACCAUUGAGGACCAUACAGUCAACACCGUCUUGCAGAAAGCGGAGUAUUACCCCCAACAAAAUCCUGGCCCCUCAACCAUCCCUUCCAUUCCAGCUGUGGUACACCAUCUUGAGCUCCCAACCUUUACCCCCCCACCUAAUGCCAUGCCUCCAGGGACGUAUAGAGAUCCCACUUUUGGAAAAGAGAAUGUGAAUGUCUCUCAUCCCCCACUGCAGUCAGCGCUCCCAGUGAUGGCCCCAGUCUCAAGAAAUGAGGCGAUCGUGACAGAGGAGCCAUACAUUAAAAAGCCCCCCAACGCCUUCAUGCUCUUCCUGAAACAGAACAGGGCAGCUGCGGAGGCAGAGCUGGGCGUGAGGACGAGCGCUGUGGUGAACAAACACCUCGGUGAACGGUGGAGAGCAUUGUCACCAGAGUUAAAAGGUUUAUAUAAUGCUGAGGCCACACUGCAUGCUUUCAUCCAUUUGUCGGAGAACCCUGGCUGGACUAACAAAAUCAACUAUAGAAACAAGAGGAAACGAAGAGAUGAAGCCACUAACUCAGUAUCAAACCAACGAACCAACGCCGCUACACAAACACAUCAGCAGCACCAAGAGCAAGAACAAGCUGGAC
rnacentral:lncRNA from 1 species